GGUCCUUUGGCGCAAUGGUAGCGCGUUACUUUCCGGUUCACUGGUUAACAUUGGUAAAGGUUCACGGUUCGAGUCCGUGGAGGAUCG